AAUUUAGGCUCAAAGCAGAUUGGGAUUAGGAAACGAUCUAAAAAUUUAAAUUCAUAUAUUUUUUUUGAUAUAAAUUUUUUAUUAAAUGGAGAAAAAAAUAAACAUAUGUAAAUAAAUAUUAUUCAAAAAGUGGUGAUAGAAUUUUUUUUGUUUUUUACUCAAGAUUGAGAGUAUAUAUCUUGCUAUAAAUAGCCUUUAGAAAAUAUAUAAUCUAAAUUAUCUGAACUAUUUAAAAAUUAAAUUUUAUAUUUUUUCGAUAUUAUUUUCUUCUGCAUCAAGUGGAUACAAAAAUGAACGGCUGAAUAUUCGUCAAAAAGUUAUGAUAGGUAUUUUUUAAUCAAGAUCAAAAGUGUAGAUUUUAUUUUAAAUAGCCUAAGAAAUUUUCUAACAAAAAUCAACUGAUUUUAAUUCCUUUACACCGUUAAACAAAAAAUAUCUCGUAUCGACCAGUAAAAUCACAAAAAUUUUGCAACUCUUCGAUCAUUAGGUCACUGAUGUCAAAAAAUAUCUAAAAUUUAAUUUUUAGAUAC
rnacentral:lncRNA from 1 species